ACGCUCGACACCUACGGGGGGCAGCAGUGGGGAAUAUUGCACAAUGGGGGAAACCCUGAUGCAGCGACGCCGCGUGAGCGAAGAAGUAUUUCGGUAUGUAAAGCUCUAUCAGCAGGGAAGAAAAUGACGGUACCUGACUAAGAAGCCCCGGCUAACUACGUGCUAGCAGCCGCGGUAAUCUGAGCGGGCGUGGCAAGGC
rnacentral:rRNA from 1 species